UGGCAGCAAUGCAAAAUAUGUUUGGUACGCUGAUGUGACUUUAUUUUUUUUGCUUGAGUAAUGAUGCUAGUGCUGUCGUAGUACAACAAAAUAGGAUAAUCGAGGGAGGAUGCCACUUCGAGCUCAUCGAUGAACUUUCAUAACUAUGCAGCUUCUUUCAUAGCAUCGGAUGCCGCGAUGUAUUCCACCUCAUAAGUAGAG
rnacentral:lncRNA from 1 species